rnacentral:rRNA from 1 species
UACGGAAGGGGCAAGCGUUGUUCGGAAUCAUUGGGCGUAAAGGGCGCGCAGGUGGCUCUGUAUGUCUGCCGUGAAAGCAUACAGCUCAACUGUAUUGUGUCGGUAGAAACUGCAGGACUUGAGGCUGGGAGGGGCUGGUGGAAUUCCCUGUGUAGCGGUGAAAUGCGUAGAGAUGGGGGAGAACACUCGUGGCGAAGGCGGCCAGCUAGACCAGUUCUGACACUGAGGCGCGACAGCGUGGGGGAGAAACAGG